rnacentral:lncRNA from 1 species
CAGUUCCUCUCAGGUACCACUUUGCCUACAUGUGAAUUCUACAUCUGCAACCCUGAAAUGGGUGGCCUUAGGUAAUUUUCCUAUUUCUUUUUUAAAAAAUAUAUAGUUUUUAGUUGUAGAUGGACACAAUUCCUUUAUUUUAUUUUUUUAUGAAGUGCUGAGGAUCAAACCCAGUGCCUUACAUGUGUGAGGCAGGCGCUCUACCACUGAGCUACAACCUCAGUCCCUGAUUUUCCUACCACUAUGGAUCGUCUUAGUGCGCCAAAUAAAUAAAUACACUUUGUAUUAAUUUUCUCAGGCUGCUGUAACAAAGUACAACUACAUACAAUUGAGUAGCUUAAGAAAACAGAAACAUGGUAGCUCAGAGUUCUGGGAUCCACAAGCCUCAACUCAGGGUGUUGGAGGCUCUGGGGAGGAUGCUCCCAGCCUCCGCCAGCUUCUGGUGUAUCCAGCAUUCCCUGGCUUGCCUCACCCUGGAGACCAUCACUCUGACCUCUGCCUCCAUCUCCACAUGGCAUUUCCCCUAAGUAUCUGCAUCCAACUUUCCCUCUUCUUAUAAGGAUGUCAGUCCCUGGAUUAGAGUCCCAAACCCUAAUUCAUUAUGGCCUCGUCUUAACUCGAUUGCACCUGCAAAGACCCCUUUUCCAAAUAAGCUCAGGACUAGAAUUUGGAUGUGACUAGUCCCCUAGUUUCAUGUGCUGGGAGCUUGGUCUCCACGGUGGUGACAUGGAGGUGGUGGGACCUUUAGGGAGUGGAGCCCAGUGAGAGGUGACUGGGUCCUAGGACUCCAACUCACGAGUGGAUUAAUGCCGUCUCAUAGCAGUGGUCACCUGGCAUUGGACUGGUUCCCUGAGAGCAGGUCAUUAUAAAGUAAGGUGAUUCUACUCAUGGCCACUUCCCUCUCUACUUCUCUGCCAUAGUAGGAUGCAACCAGGGGGUUUGUUCCAUGUUUCCAAAACCAUGUUGUUUGGCCUUCCAGACAUCUGAAUAGUGAGCCAAAUAAGCCUCUUUUCUUUAUAUACUACCCAGUGUCAUGUAUUUGGUCAUAGAAACACAAAAUAGAUAAAGACAGUCAUGGUCAAAGGUUCUAGGUGGUGAGAAACAGUCCAAUCCAGUAUAUACCCCCACCACAGAGUUGUAGCAGGAAUCAAUGAGAUGCUAUUUCCAAAACACAGCAUUGUGCAUGGUAGGACAUAGGGCAGAUUAAAAUGGCAAUUUUUAUUAGUAUUCCAGUUAAAUCAAUCAAUCUAUCUAUCUAUCUAUCUAUCUAUCUAUCAUCUCUAUUGCCAUAGAUACAGAUAUAGAUGUAGAUAUACGAAUAGAUACACACAUAUAACUAAAUUUACAUAAAGCUUAUUCUGGAGGUUUGGUGUGAAUUGGAACCUAAGAUAUUUAUGUAGGUGUACAUUGUAAAAUAUAAAUUAGUGUGUGUGGCAUGAAGCCUUUACUUUGCUUAUUAGAAUGGUCAUUUUUCCCUUAUUCCUUUAAAAUGUGAUAUACUAUAUUAAACACGUGGCUUUUCUAAGGCUUCUGUCCUCAGGCGUGUGGAUGCAGGACUGCAGACCUAACCACUCCUUGCAGGCUAA